rnacentral:rRNA from 1 species
AUCCUGGCUCAGGAUGAACGCUGGCGGCGUGCCUAAUACAUGCAAGUCGAACGAAGAACCUUCGGGUUCUUAGUGGCGAACGGGUGAGUAAUACAUAAGCAACCUGCCCCUAUGUCUGGGAUAACUAUUGGAAACGAUAGCUAAUACCGGAUACGAGUAUCUCUGGCAUCUGAGAUAUUUAAAAGAUGGGUUACAUCGCAAAGGGAUGGGCUUAUGGCGCAUUAGCUAGUUGGUGAGGUAACGGCUCACCAAGGCGAUGAUGCGUAGCCGAUUUGAGAGGAUGAACGGCCACAUUGGGACUGAGACACGGCCCAGACUCCUACGGGAGGCAGCAGUAGGGAAUUUUCGGCAAUGGGCGAAAGCCUGACCGAGCAACGCCGCGUGAGUGAAGACGGCCUUCGGGUUGUAAAGCUCUGUUGAUAGGGAAGAAUGUUACGUAUAGGGAAUGAUAUGUAAGUGACGGUACCUAUCCAGAAAGCCACGGCUAACUACGUG